rnacentral:misc_RNA from 1 species
CAGAGUUCAUGCUCUCACGGGUAGAUCUCCCACCCUUGAAUAUUAUACCUUCGUUGCUUUGGCAGGCCGUGGAAACACCAGAGGCUCCGGCUGAUGCGUGCCUGCCAGAGGAAACAAACUCUGUUUUUAGUGAUGUCUGAGUACUAUAUAAUAGUUA